CUCGUAGGCGGUUCGUCGCGUCCGGUGUGAAAGUCCAUCGCUUAACGGUGGAUCCGCGCCGGGUACGGGCGGGCUUGAGUGCGGUAGGGGAGACUGGAAUUCCCGGUGUAACGGUGGAAUAUGUAGAUAUCGGGAAGAACACCAAUGGCGAAGGCAGGUCUCUGGGCCGUUACUGACGCUGAGGAGCGAAAGCGUGGGGAGCGAACA
rnacentral:rRNA from 1 species